GGCAAGGAUGGAAGCUCCAAAUCCUACAAGCCAAAGGAGGGGCACCCCAGGAGUCAAAGAGAAGACCGAGGUACGGAACGCCCUUUUCUUAAGUGCUUUCUUUAUGAUGGACCGCAUAAAGCUCAAGAGUGCCCAAAGAGGAGCAAGCUCUCAGCAUUGGUCGAGGAAAGGGAGAAGGCACCUUUCCAACCUAGGGAAGCGACCAUGGGAUCCUUGAAGUUGAGUGCCCUUAAGGUCCAGGAGAAAGGAACCGUGAAUGUGGAGAAGGGGCAACCUUUUGUCCAGAUCAAGGUAGGAGGACAUGAGUUGCGGGCAUUGUUGGACACCGAGGCAUCCCACAACUUCCUGACGAUAGAGGAAGCUAAGAGGUUGGGCA
rnacentral:misc_RNA from 1 species